UGAUGGGACCUCAUCCUCGGUGCACUUCCUGUCUACCUGCAUGAAGAUUCUUUAAGUUCUUCAGGACCUGUAAUUCAGGAGUUGGUCCAGACCUCACCGAUACUCCAGUGGCUCUCCUGACAGUCGCAACGGAUAACACUACUGAUGCAGCCCUCUUCUGCCCUGAGAGUAUCUGUCGUGAAGGAUAAAAUACUUGCAAGCUCCUUUUGUGUCUUUUUAAAAGCACAUUGUUGAAUAAAAAAAGUUGCUAAAUUGUCA